UCCCCGCUUCUCCUCCCUGAGCGGGUGCCUGUCGAUAUCGAUUAAGCUGUUAACCUGUCCCUGUCGUCAUGCGGCGGGUUUUUUAU
rnacentral:ncRNA from 1 species